rnacentral:sRNA from 1 species
UACGCGUUUAUUGUGUUCUAAAGGUAAA